AGUAAAAUCUGCUGCAGGAAAAGAAUAAAACAAAUAAAGAAGGCUUCUAACUCCAGCUAGAUAUAAAGAUAAAGCAGGAUUCUGCUAAAACCUCCACUUUGGCUUCAUACAUGUUUUCUUGUUCUUUCCCCCACGUAGCCCUGAUUAUGCAUCUCAGAGGUGAUUAUACCUUAAAUCUACACCCCCAUUCCAACUUGGAUGCAGCAUUUCAGCGAAGCAGCUUGAGCCGAUCCCAAGGAAUGUGAAUGUCUCAGAGCUGGAAUAAUGAACAGUAAAGACAGAUGAGGCACUUUCGUGCCAAGCAGGUUGCCUCAAUUGGAUUAGUAAAACUGAGGUUGGGAUGGAAAGCUGUCUAUGUGCCAAGUGCCCAUUAGCCCGGCUCAGGAUUCCCCUCAGUGAUCUCAUACUGGACCCAGCAGCAGAGGAUAUUAGAAACAAUAACUCAUAUUUACACGUGGAUAAACAGGAAGCAUCUUGUAAUUAUGCACAUUUGUUUGAUUCAUUUAAAAAUGCAACUAACUGCUUUCAUCUCUGACCAACAAUCUCAAGAAGUGAUGGGAUGGGAUCAAUCCGCCACCAUGCCCCAGCAGAGGAGCUGCUGGCAUUCCCCCUCAUACAGAUCCAUAGAAAAGGCUGUGUGAUGUAUUGCAGCAGAUGAGUGGGGGCUGGCUCUGACACAUGACUGACAGCUCAUUUGACAGCCCCAGGAAAGUGUGCAGGGAAGUUUCAAUCUAAUCUAAUGCUGCUGAAGGAAUGAAGUGGCGGCGUGAGAUGAUGUUUUCAUGUCCCUGCAGCCCCAACAGGAUGAGUAUGAUGUGGAUGACCCACGGUUGCUGAGGUGCUGCGGGUUCCCGUGGAGCCAGACGCCAACACAGUCCAUCCCUCCCAUCAAUCCACGUCACUUCUGAGAAUCAGGUUUCUGGAGAAAGAAAGGAAAAACAGGGCAAAAACCAAAACAAGAGACCGAAACCUUGCUCAAACCCAAACCUGAAAAUCGUCUCCGGGUUGAUAAAGGCUCAGAGCAAUAGAAGAAGCAAGGCUGACAUCUUCUUAAGAGAUGAUAGGAGAGCCAAAUCAAAUAGGAUGGAGCAGUCACUCUUUUCACAGAUAGGCCAGAACAAUGGUGGACCCAUGAGCCCAGCUUCCCCACAGGCCCUGACGAGAACAAGCCGGGAGCUGCAGACUGAGGGAGCUGCUCAGCCUGCUGAAAUGUGGAGGGGACAGAUAAGGGGGCAGCGGCACAGAGAGGCUCUCUCCCCUGGGCCCAGGGGGAAAUUUGCAGUUAUUAAGAGAAGAUGAGAGCGAUUAAAUGGCUUUUGUACUCGUUUUCACAGACUUUUCUCUUUUUAUUAUUUAGUUUGCCUUCAUCUGAUAGAUGAAAGAAGUGGUAAAUUACUUUUUUCUUCAUUCAGCAUCAGCUCUGAAACAAUUCUUCGUCGCAGGGAGCUCCAAUACACUAGAAUAUACAUUAUUCAAAUAUUAUUUUAAAGCAAAGAGAUAUAAAUAUGUGUGAUUUAGCUUUGAUGCUGUAUGGUUUUCUGAACACAUUUCUUUAACUAACUAUGGACUCUGCAUGAACAGCAGCAGAAUUCCAUGCAACUAUCUACAAAAGUUUAAUUGUAAGCAAACUAGGGCCAUCACAGAGGGCUUUCUUGUUCAUUGCUACCUGCCAGGUGUUAAAGAGCAAGUCGCCCCCAAAUAAACUGUUUUUUGCUGAUAAGCUAAAUAAACGAGUGUCUAAUCGUGCUGCAGACACAUGUCGUCAGUAAUUUGGCACUUCAGUGCAUCUUAGUUAAAAUUUAAAUAUUCUGACUAAAACUGGCAGUGUUGUGCCAUUGUCAGGUAAAAACUCUGCACUGUAUUUUAAUUUAAAUCUGCCACUGCUAUUGGCUAAGAAGUAUGCUAUGAUGUAAACUGGUACAUUAUGAUGUCACAAUGCUGUUGUGAGCCUGAGUGUGUGUUUGUUAGCGGCUCCGCCCUCACGGUCUGCCAGGCAACAGCACGUGUUGCAUUUUUCAAACAUGAAGUGGGAGUGGAGUUAGACUCUGGUAGGGGUUGACUUGCUCUUUAAAUAACUGAUGUAAAUGUAAAAAUUCUCACCCUAAACUUUUGUUUCUAGAACAGUAAGAACUUGGUUCACUCGAUCUAAAGUUGUGGAAGUUUUAGCAACAAAUAACAACAAGCUGUCUAGCUCUCGCAGACGCAAGGGUAUUUAAAAAUCUUUGGGAUUUUUCAAUUAAAUAUUCCUGACAGAUUGCAUAAUUUACAUAUUUUGUGGUAAAUGUGUAAGUUUUAGACUCUUAUUAUGAAGGACUGAAGGAAGUUAUUUAAGUUCCCCAGUCGAUUGCACAUCAGAUUCAAUAAAAUGCUCAAUUUCUAUGUAUGUAAAUGUAAAAACACAACCAUAACCACAAUCACACACAAAACAAAAGUUUCCUGCUUUUCCUCCUACUGGUUGAAAGCGGAUUUACCAGGACUGCCAACACACACUGAGCAUAAGACACACACAUCAUCUGACCCUCUUCA